AUAUAAGUUCUGAGAACCCUUGGUUUCCUGCCUUCUCGUGAAGAUUGUGUGAUAAGAAAAUGCUACAGAACAUCAGUACAAUGUAGUAUUGCUUGAUGUGGAGACCUUCAAUGCAUUUCAAGUCAUUCUCGAAGAAUGUCCUGCAGACUUCAUUUUGACCGUUUUAUACAGGGUGUAUAUAUAUCACAAAUUUCCAUUAUAUCUUUAAUUUCAUUUUCACUACUGGAUUAUGUGGACUUGAUAAAAUCAACUUUAUGGACUACUAUUUUAAAUCCAGAGAAGUCAACUGUAAUUUACAGCCUAUUCUGUGAUUUUGGGAGGGUAAAACUUGCAGCAAAUUUGUUCGAGAACAGCCUUUGGAUAAACACAAUCUCCUGAUGGAAGAGGAUGUGGAUAAUGAACUAAGUCAAGCUCAGAUUUCUGUCCAAUGUAAGGAGAACCCUGACGGUCAAGAUGGAAUGAUGGUGUUUGAUAUGGAAGCCUUUCCCAUGGUCAACAUCCUCUGUGUAGAAGAUCGUCCUAAAGGUCAAUGUAAACAGCGGUAGCUCUCUGCAAGAUCUCAUCAUCAUUACUCAGGGAUAUCAGCUUCACAAGUUUUUUCUGUGUAAUUCAAAAAUGUCUUGAAAUUUUUAAUAAUUAAAAAUUAAAAAAGAGCAGUUGGUUAUUUAUUUUGUAUUUCAGCUGUCCAAAAACAGUCCAUUAUGCUGUUUAAUAUUGCAAACUGGUAUUUGGUG